UCCCAUAUGAUCUAGUGGUUAGGAUUUGGCGCACUCACCGCCAAGGCCCGGGUUCAAUUCCCGGUAUGGGAA
rnacentral:tRNA from 1 species